rnacentral:rRNA from 1 species
AUGACUGUCAUGCCGCCUGCGCGCCAUCGGCCCGCGGCCAAGAGGCCCAUGUGGAUAAUCGUGCUCCUGUGCCUCGUCUGCGUCGUGCUGAUCGGGGCGUACGUGUACCCGCCGCGGCACUACUCGCAGUGCUACCUCUCUGCUUCUAGCGUCUGCACGCCGUUCAAGGAUUGGCUCCCAUCCAUCGGCCGCCGGGAGAAAACCGACGACGAGAUCAUCUCAGCCGCUGUUAUCAGGGAUAUCCUUGGGAUGCCCAUGUCCGCGUCAAAGAAUCCAAAGAUUGCUUUUAUGUUCUUGACACCUGGCUCAUUGCCCUUCGAGAGAUUGUGGGAGAAGUUUCUGCAGGGUCAUGAGGGAAGAUACUCCAUCUAUGUGCACGCGUCGCGUCAGAAGCCUGUGCAUACUAGUUCUCUCUUUAUUGGCCGAGAUAUUCAUAGUGAUGCGGUUGUAUGGGGAAAGAUUUCAAUGAUAGAUGCAGAGAAGAGGCUAUUAGCAAAUGCGCUGGAAGACGUGGAUAAUCAAUUUUUUGUCUUGCUUUCUGAUAGCUGUGUUCCGCUUCAUUCAUUUGACUACGUCUUUAAUUACCUGAUGGGAACAAACAUCAGUUUCAUUGAUUGUUUCCAGGAUCCUGGUCCACAUGGAAAUGGAAGGUAUUCUCUUGAGAUGCUUCCUGAAAUAGAGGAGAGAGACUUCAGAAAGGGUGCCCAGUGGUUCGCAAUCACGCGAAGACAUGCUUUAUUGAUUCUGGCGGACAACCUUUACUACAAGAAGUUCAAGCUAUAUUGCAAGCCAGCAGAUGGGCGCAACUGUAUUGCUGAUGAGCAUUAUUUGCCAACCCUAUUCAAUAUGGUAGAUCCAGGUGGAAUAGCUAAUUGGUCGGUUACACAUGUGGAUUGGUCUGAGGGGAAAUGGCAUCCAAGGUCAUACGCGGUUGCUGAUGUCAGCUAUGAUCUGCUAAAGAAUAUAACAGCCGUUGAUGAGACCAUCCAUGUAACAAGUGAUGACAAGAAACUCGUGACACAGAAGCCAUGUUUGUGGAACGGAUCAAAGAGUCCAUGCUAUCUUUUUGCUAGGAAAUUUUACCCCGAAACUCUCGACAGCUUACUGAAGAUAUUCACCAGCUACACGUCUGUUUGA